rnacentral:rRNA from 1 species
UACGGAGGGGGCUAGCGUUGUUCGGAAUUACUGGGCGUAAAGCGCACGUAGGCGGCUUUGUAAGUUAGAGGUGAAAGCCCGGGGCUCAACUCCGGAACUGCCUUUAAGACUGCAUCGCUAGAAUUGUGGAGAGGUAAGUGGAAUUCCGAGUGUAGAGGUGAAAUUCGUAGAUAUUCGGAAGAACACCAGUGGCGAAGGCGACUCGCUGGACAAGUAUUGACGCUGAGGUGCGAAAGCGUGGGGAGCAAACAGG